rnacentral:rRNA from 1 species
AGUGAACGCUGGCGGUAGGCCUAACACAUGCAAGUCGAACGGCAGCACAGUAAGAGCUUGCUCUUACGGGUGGCGAGUGGCGGACGGGUGAGGAAUACAUCGGAAUCUACUUUUUCGUGGGGGAUAACGUAGGGAAACUUACGCUAAUACCGCAUACGACCUACGGGUGAAAGCAGGGGAUCUUCGGACCUUGCGCGAUUGAAUGAGCCGAUGUCGGAUUAGCUAGUUGGCGGGGUAAAGGCCCACCAAGGCGACGAUCCGUAGCUGGUCUGAGAGGAUGAUCAGCCACACUGGAACUGCGACACGGUCCAGACUCCUACGGGAGGCAGCAGUGGGGAAUAUUGGACAAUGGGCGCAAGCCUGCUCCAGCCAUACCGCGUGGGUGAAGAAGGCCUUCGGGUUGUAAAGCCCUUUUGUUGGGAAAGAAAAGCAGCAGGUUAAUACCCCGCUGUUCUGACGGUACCCAAAGAAUAAGCACCGGCUAACUUCGUG